GGUGGCUCAGUGGUAGAGCGCUCGCCUGGCGGGCAGGAGGCCCCGGGUUCGAGUCCUCGGCACCA
rnacentral:tRNA from 1 species